AUCCCCAUCUCUGGAUAAACCUUCAUCGACGACGUGUUGCUUCCCUCGUCGACAGCGUAUUGCUUCUUUCACCAACAACAUCUAUUGCUCCACCUCAGUUCAGAAACGUGGUGCCCUUCACCACCAAAUAUUACUAUCACCAACACCUGUUGCUUUCAUCACCGGAAACAUCUCUAACCUAACGUCAUCUGCUACCUCCCAUCAAACCACCACCACCACCCACUCCCGCCUGCCAACACCACAACACCAUCUGAUGAGCGAUCAACAUUUGAUGAAAAUCUAGGGCAACGAUUUGGAUAUCAUUGAAGAUUUUGAAAAAGCUAGGGUUUGAUGUUUUUCUGUUUUUGUUUACGUUUUCAUCCAUAUGAUUUUUUUUUUCGUUGCAUGCUUUCAGCUUUCGCGUCAUCUGCAUUCACCACCAUCAAAACCCUACUCUGCCGCCUACGUUUCUUUUCUAAGAAGGUUACAUAUAGGAACCAAACUACAAAAGAGAAGAAUGUUGAUGACCCUAUACGUUGCUUCCAUUGACUACUUGAAGCAGACACAAUUCUUACACUCAGAAUGGAAAUAUGAAGAUAAUAUAAGACAACAGAAGGCAUAAAUAUUUUACAUUCGAGAGUAAUUAUAUUUUUGUUUGAAAAAAAUAUGCUUAUUUUUAUUUCUUUCUAAUAACAUUCAUUCACUCUUUAGUCACCAUUAAUGGUUGUUUUUUUUCUA